AGGUACACGUAAACAGCAUUACCACAGAGCUGAGGAGAAUCAUGUGAGAAGCAGCAUCAUCAAGCUGAGGAGGAACAUGUGUGAAUCAUCAUUAAAGAGCUAAAGAGAAACAUGUGAGGAGCAUAAUUAAUGAGCUGAGGAGGAACAUGUAAGGAGCAUCGACAUCAAGCAGAGACGGAUCAUGUGAGGAGCAUCAUCAAAGGGUCUGAAGAGGAACAUCGCGCGGUGUGUGUGUGUGUGUGUGUGUGUUACCUGAAGCAGCUGGAACACGGCAGUAAUGAGGAGAUGAUUGGUCUGAGGUGUGUAUCUACAGCAGGUUCUGAGGUAAGUGUGUGAGGAACCCGGACACACCCAGGAGCCGGAAAACCGCGCGCGAGCUCCGAGUACAGAGGACUAGACCGAGAACCGCGUUCAGUGUGACUCAGCAACACACACACACACACACACACACACACACACACACACACACACACACACACACACACACACACACACACACACACACACACA